rnacentral:rRNA from 1 species
UACGUAGGGGGCAAGCGUUGUCCGGAAUUAUUGGGCGUAAAGAGCUCGUAGGCGGUCUGUUGCGUCCGCUGUGAAAACUCGGGGCUUAACCCCGAGCUUGCAGUGGAUACGGGCAGACUAGAGGUAGGUAGGGGAGAAUGGAAUUCCCGGUGUAGCGGUGAAAUGCGCAGAUAUCGGGAGGAACACCGGUGGCGAAGGCGGUUCUCUGGGCCUUACCUGACGCUGAGGAGCGAAAGCGUGGGGAGCGAACAGG